ensembl:lncRNA
UACUGGGAAAACUGCCAGGGAGAGUGUGACUGCUUGCACUGAGGUGGCUGGGCAGCACCUCUUGUAAUCCGUGUUCUGUGCGGUGUAUUGAUUGGGAUUGUGGAUAGGCCCUGGGGGAUGAACACCAACACCGAGUUCCAGAGCCUGACUUUUUAAUCAGCAACAGGUUUAGUAGCUGGGAGCAGCUGGGUAAUGUCUGCUUAGGAAAAAAAAAAAAACAAUUGUACCAGAUGAAGCCAAAAACUGUAAGGUGAUUAUUGUUUUAGCAGCUAUACGUAACUAAAUGUGGGAUACAAUUGAGUAGCAGUGGUCAUGAUAGGUGACUUUCUACCUGCACAAUAGAAAGUACCACUUACAGGCAUGAAUGAUGCUGAGUCUGGUCCAGAGGCAAACUUGAAAGAGCAUUCAUCUGCCAUGGAUAAGAAGACAGAGAACUGCAGAAGUUAUCCCCAAAGUGCUGCCUGCCGCCUUCUUGCUGGCCAGCUCCUUUUGUAAAAAGAGUUUACUUGGAAACAAGGACAGAAUUACCUCUUCUCCUUGGGUGAAAUGUACUCUUUAGUACAAAAGCGAAGACCCAGCUAUGCACCGUCCUGUACUGCAGAGUCCAUACAAGAGCAAAGCCAAACAAGGGAGCAGGUAAGUGCGUAGAGGAGAUAUCUUCAGCUGUUACCCAUCAUUUCUGGAUGUGGGUGAGGAGUUAGGCAAGUUAAAGUCAAGAAUUAUUCUCAGGUGUUGGAUAAAGAGAAGAGUCCCAACUCUAUUAAUGUCUUCUCUGGUCCCAUCUAUGGCUUUACUCUGCAAAACUCUUUCUGUUCUGGAUUUGGGACCCCAACAACUGCAGGCUCCUGUAGGCCUUCUCAUCCCUGCGCUGUUCAGUGACCUACACUGAAGACAGCAGGAAGAUGGUGAUGCCCCUACAAUUAAUUGCCAGAAUAUGUGGAAAAAGAAGCAAAGAUGAUGUGGAGUCUGAAGGUCACUGCAGGGAGGAUGUGCUGAGUCUUACUGUGAACAUUAAAGGAAAAUCUAAACCUGCUCAGGAAUUAUGGGCUCUUGAACUCUGACUGACCUCCUCCAGUAGAUUUGCUUUUAGAGAAUAUUGUUUGAUUAGUGAUAUUAGGUUCUGAAUGCUCUGUAGCUCAUCUGAGUGGAUUGACAAGUAAGGGAAUAGAUUGCUCUGUGAAAAAUAAUAAUAGUAAUAAUCCAAAGAUGAUUUUCUAAGUGUUGAAAAUCCCAUGCAAAAACCUUUUCUCAUAGGCAGAUCCUAUUCACUUAAGUGAAACAAUAACUUGGUUUCAGAGAAAAAAAAAAGUAUAUGAAAACAAUUGUCCCUUUUUCAAGAUAGUCUUGCAGCAAGCCUGAGGUUAACAGUAUGUGUUCGAUUCAUCGUAAUUACUAGAAAUGUUUCAUCCAUUCAGAAGCCUUUGCAAUACCCCCAGGACUGCUAAGCUUUAAUAUAAGCUGUUUUUCUCUUUUAUCUCUGUUUUUUCUCUCACAUGAUUUCCCCUUUUCUUUACUCUAGGUGUCGAGCUUUUGUUGAUUUUUUUCACUUGGAAAGGUAACAGUAAAGUGAUGGUGUUUCACAUCUUUUAUCUGAAUUUCUAGAGUCCAAUUCUUACAAAGAAACUAUUUCUUGAUAAAAUUAUUUCACAGGUUUUCUAGUGAAUGAGUUUGAUCAAUCAGUAGUUCCCGUUUGAUAGAGUAUACAAAUGAUGUUGUGGUACAUGAUAAUCUUCGGGUUUUCCCACUACCUAGCAGAACGCUGGUACCGAGGUGGGAGUGUGGAAAUAGAAAAACUGACAGGCCAGACAAAUGAACAAUUAAGUUUGUGUACCGAGGUCUGUGGCAACGUAAUAGAAUGAGGUGGAAUACGUGCCCGGAAUAUCAAAAUUUUACAUGCUAGUUUAAAGUGUCCCAGGAGAGCUGUGGGGAUAGAUACUGCAUGGAAAGUGAGCAGUGUUCUCAUUACAGCAGAUUAUGUUACUUAUCAGUAGCCUGAAUAUGGGAAAAUAAGACUGGAACUGUUUGAAAAUAAGUGAAUAUGCAUAUUUUUCUAAACCAAAAUACUGCUUAUUUGCAGGGUGUAUAUUUUGAAGUAAUGACUGGUCAAAGAGGAGGAGUAUCAGUGCAUUUCAAGGAGCAAAGUGUGAGAGAUUUUCAGCUUGAUCUCAGAAAAUUGAUGUAGUCCACAUUGCAUACUGCACUGCACCUCCAGUUUGGACAGGAGAGGAGCUGUGUUAGCAAAUGCUCAACCAAAUGUAAAAACAUUGCUAAAGUAAUGGACUCCAACAAAGAUCCAAUUUCACUUUAGGGGUAAGUUAGUGUGUUUUCUUGCUGAUUAUUAUUAUUAUUUCUUUUUGCUUCUGGAUGUGUUUUUAUAGCCAGUAAACCGCAAACUGGAUGAUAGAAAGGAAACUGGAAUGUAAGUUGUAAAUAGCAUUAUUGACUAAAUACCAGUUGUAGGUUCUAUACUGCUCAUGCAUGAGCCAGAAAGCACAUCUUGGCUGAACAAUUUUAUUUCUAUUUUCAUAGAAGCAGCAGUUAAAAAAAAAAAAAUCAUUAUCACUUGUGUCUGAGCUGAUCGUGUUUGAUUUGGAAGUCACUGGGAUGCAAUAAACAGGAAACCCCAGGGUGCCAUUUUACUAAGACAGUUUUCAGAAAGGAACCACAGUUUCUGCUGCAAAGCACUGUUGAUUUACAUGGAUUUUCUUGACACAUGUUUUGGCAAAAUGUAUCAGCUUGUGCUUCUUAGCAUCAACAAAUAAUACUUGACUUGCAAACGAGCUCCUUGGCAAGUACCCAGCCACAGGAGGCUUGAAGAUUUGACUGAAUAAAAAAGACUUCCAUUUCACCAAUUUGUGAGCUGGCAUUGUCCCUGCCGUAGUCAUCUGCAGCCACUCUGUGCUCUUUGCUUCUCAAGCUCUUUUUUUCUUGGAUAGUGCAGCUAUUCAGCCUGUUAUUUCUUACCAAAUUCCAUGCAAUGAAAAUUAAACAUUUAUAUUUUCAAUUUCCAUAUAAAUGUCUUAAAGGACUCUCAGACUCAUCUGUGCUCUAAUGUUUGAGAGUGAUCUUUUCUCCGGUGGGAUGCUGGCAUUUGUCCUUCCCUGGAUAAGCCCUAGAUAAUGUUCAGCUUAAAAAAAAAAAAAUAGCAAUCACCUUUCUUUGUAUUUUCCCAGUGCACCUUUCUUCUUCUUAAGCUUAAAUAUAAUGAACAUAAACCCAUUUGGAAAUAAAAUUGUGCACUCGGUUAACUAAAAAAAAGUAAUUACAUUAUAAUCAAGCUGUCACUUCGUGAGAUAGUGGGAGAUGAAAUACACCAUAAACUGACAAAAGACGAGGACGGCUUUCUCUUCUGAACAUCAUUCACAGCACAAAGCAGUGUAGAAAUUCUGAAUGACAAACAGCGUAACCAAGGAACCUCUUGGAGCUGGGAAAAGGGCCACGGCACAAGGUCUAGAAAGACAGAUUGGCUUUCGUGUAGUGGAAUAAGGGAGCCUUAAACUGUGUGCAGAGCAAUGCAUAUGUAGGCUACUACUGCCCAUAGUCUGACAGCCCACCAGUACUGGAACAAAGGAUUAGAAACACUCAUCUUGAUUAGGAAAUAAACUGAAAGUAUGCAUCCUGCUUAGCAUGGAUGUCCCAUCUCUGUAGCUGUGGUGAUUUUCAAGGCAGAAUUAUCAGCCUUGGUUUCUUCACCUGAAGCCCUUAUGCCCUACCAAGCUGCCAGCAUGUAUUCAGCAGCUAAAUGGGCAGGUGAAUCAAGAUGAUCUGAAUGUGUGAGGGAUUGCUUUAUUCUUUGUUCUUGUCCUGCUCAUUCUUGGUACACUCGCACUGCACAUUGCCUUAGUACGAAUGGAAAUGCCUUGGUGUGAGGGGCAUUCUCAGUCCUGAACAAUAAGAAGUAUGGGUAGCCCCUGGUUAGAUGACAGCACUCAGGUGGGAGAAAUUUUCCUCACUUCUCCUGGUCCUUGACAUGUGAGCUGCUUUCCUAUUGUGGAAUAAAGUCUUUUUUCCCCUCCCGAUGCAGUUUCUUUGAGAUGUGAGUCUGUUCCCUGCUAUCCUUUCUCUGCAGCACUGCAUCCUUUAUAUAGGUGUUCCUGUUAAUGACCACUGAUCUGAAGUUUGAGAGCAAGCUGAUGGUAAACUGAGGGCACAAAUGUGUGGGGAGACAGAAAGAAGCUGGGAAUGUGCUUUUGGAUGCCCUCCUUGCCUUUUCAGAAGGGGUCAGGGAGUCUGCUCUCAUGGAUGGAUGGAAGAUGGCGUCAGGAUAGCCUCUCUUCUGCCAGUUACACAUCAAAUAGAGGAGAACUUGUUUGCACAGGGCCUUUCUUCUGGUAACUGACAAAAGCUUCAGUAAUAUGAACAGGGCUGAACUUCUUGUUUCUGUCGUCUGAUUUUGUUUCUGUUCCAGAGAUAAAUGGUAACAUACUGGGAGGACCGUGCUGUGGAAGCGGUGCAGCUGAUACCUUUGUUCAGCGUCUUGCUUUUCUCUUUUCAUGCUAUGCAUACGGCUACAGAGCAGCACAACAUGCUGUGCUGUCCAUGCACAGCGUUAUCCACUGUUCGGUGGGUAAGGCACACUUUGUGUAUUCAUGUCACAUCUCUGGCAGGGCACUGAGAGCUUCAGAAAAACAGGAGCUGAAGGAGCUCACUGGAGACAUUUCAGUAGGACAGCUUGCUUUUUCAGAUUUUAAGCUGUAAUUUGUUUAAGUGUAAUUAAUUUUGUUUUUCUGAGAAGAGCAGAAGGAUUUCAGUUCCAAGGAACUGAACAUGAAAUGAAGUGCCACAAAAAUAAAUAAAUAGAUGGAUAGAUGCUUUUCCAAAUGCCUAUGUAACCGUAUAGUCUCUGUUUUGAUAGAAAUAACAUCUUUUGUCAGAAACAGCUUCUGACAGUAGCUUCCUCCCCAGAUAAAAGUAACAGUUUUAAAGCUAAUGUUUUUUUUUCUGUCACCAAACCUAAGCAUAAGCAACCCCACUCAAGGACUGCUAAUAGUGGACUACUGAUGAGCUGUAAACUGAAGACUUCUCAGCCUUUAAGCAUCUCCCUAAUUUCAUAUUAUGCAGCUGUUGUUGGCAGUAGAUUUGGUUAAAAUGACAUCACCUUCGUUAAUUCAUGCUCCUGUAGAAUCAAUUGGACAGCCUCAAAUAGAGUAUUUUACCUUUUUCCACGCAAGAUAUAUAAGAUGUCUUGAAUUUAAAAUAAACAAAAUAGAACAAAAUCGAAAAAAAAAAAACCCAUAACCUUCCAUUCUUAUUACAGCAGAUGUAAGGAGACUCUUCUUGACUUUGAUUGUGCAAACACUGUGGCCAUUUGGACAUAAGAAGACCCAGUUGAAUAGAAAUUGAAGACAUACCUGUCCUAGUACCUCAGAUGGUCUGCUUUCCACAUUGUUGUUCUGAGAAGAUGAUGAUAGGGAAUCUGUUUUUUCUUCAUGCCCAUCUCUCUACAUGCAGACAAAUAUUGUCAAGAGUCCCCACAUUGCAGCAGAGCCUUGAGUGCGUGGCAUUGCCUGAAACUUGUGCUCCUUGAUUGAUCUGAAUCCUUAAGAACAGGGAAGGAUUAGUGAGUACUGCUUCUAUUAACUCCCUUUUGGUCCCACUGCCUUUCUGGCUUUUUCUGGCCAUUCUCAGAUUGACCUUGGGUUGUAACAGAUGAUGGGGGAAAAAAAAUACAAGGCUUUUAAAUACGUCAGAUAGCGCUCUCUUUAAAAAAAGAAAAAAAAGUCUGUUUAAACAGCUGGGACUGGAGUUAAUUUGUGAAGGCCUGUUUGUGGUAUAAGUUCCACAGGGAAAGCUGAAAUGAAGAAAGGAUAUAAUACCCUUCUUUAUGAAAAUAAACAAAACCCUUGAAGCUAGUAUUGCUUAACCCUAGCAUAGAAAGAUGCAGGACUUUUGCUUCUCUUUUUGCUAAGCAAAAUGUAUACAGAGAUUAUAUAUAUUUUUAAAGGUAGCAAGCAUCUUUGGAGAUGGUGCCAAAAAACUGGUAAAAUAGUAUACUCUCUGCCUUUUGGCUUACCCUACACUAAACGUUAUUAGUGUCCCACAGUCAGCUACAUCUUUCUGACAUUGAAUCCUCUUUGCACUCUGAAGAUCGUAACAAUGAAAUAAUUAAACUCAGAUACAUGACACUGUGGAGUCAUGACUGUGUAUGAGGACACAAUUCCCCAUCUGGACAAGGAGAAAUGUUCUAUAGCAGUUAUGGGCAGUUGUAAGUGAAGUAGCUAAUUCAUCUUAGUCACAAAAUCAGGGUGCAAAAUGACCCCACUUGGUUCAUGACACUGUCUAUAUCUAGGGAGUCUGCACAUGAGUUACGAAUUCCGGCUUGACUUAUUGAACCUGGUUUUAACUCUUGAUAAUUGUCUUGGUUUCUCUUAUAUCUUUUCUCUCUCCUGUGAUGUUUCCUUUGGUUCCUGUGCUUUGUAAAAGACAAUUUAUUUAUGAGCUGAUUUGUUGAGAUCUAUCCAGGAUCUGAUGAUUUGGCCUGCUCCUGAAAGAGGCCUACUACAGGUAAAAUGAGCUUUUUAUUGUGUCACCGCAGGGGCCAGGGCACAAAAUAUCAGGCAUAGUUUGAGACUGGAGUAUAAGGCCUAGACUCGACCAAGAAGUAGUAAAAACAGCACAUUUAUUUUCUAGUUAGUGGAUACCUCUGGUCAGUGAGUCCCACCUUUUGCUGAAGCUGCCAUAGGUUCCUGAGCAAAGAAAGUCUAAGCUUUUCCUAGUAACCUAGUAACCAGGUCUGAAUGCACUAGCUGUUUGGUUUUGUGUUUUCUUUUGUUCGAAAGCUGAAACUUGCAUGCUCAUUUCUGAAAUGGCCGAGCAUCUUUGGCCCUGUGGAUGUCCCUUUCCCUCUCAACCUCAACGUCAAGCUGCAUGGAAUUGGCCGUGUAACCCUAAAACAGCUUCACCAUCUGUUACCAUACAGGAACCCACAUUUAGACUGGUGACACUGAUAACACGCCUUUUAUUUUUUCCUUCUUCAAUCAUGCUGAGACCGAGGAUAAUUAUCAUACUUCUUACAAACCUGUUCUUGUAGCUGAUGCAAAACCUUGUAAAGGCAUGUUAAAAUAACUUGCUUAAGCAUGGUAAUUUUCUAAAAAGUAAGGAUGCUGGAAAACAGAACAAACUCAUUUAAGGAUUCAUAGGAAAAGAGUGCUGGCUAUUUAUAAUCUCAGGAUUUUAAACAGAAUAACGACUCAAAAGUGUGCAGUGAAUUUUGGUUGUGAAGAAAGCAAAGAUGGAAGCUUGAGAAAUCAGCUUCUGAUGUAUUAAAAAUAAAAAUCUGUGAAGUGUCUUUUCUCUGCUUGGACUAAAGAAGCCUUCCAUGUGAUCCUGGCAGAGGCAGAAAGACUUGGUUGGCCUGAAUGAAAUAAAUCACUGCUCUUAAUACAAUAUUAGUUUGAAGCAAGCUCUGAAUUCUAACCUCUGUAGGCCUGAGAUAGUCAGUAGUUUGCACAUGCACAGCUGAGAAGCUGUUGAUCUUCUUGUUUAUUUUUUCUGCACUAAUUAUCCUAAUCUUUGUAAAACAUGUUAUUCCAUCUUAUACUCCAUAGAUUAAAGCCAGAAUUACUAAUAAACAGGAUUUUUGCUGCCUUGUUGUAAAAUGCUUGUGGUGUCAUUAGGAGCAGUCGGAGCUCUUUACAUUCCUGACCUAUGACUCAAAAUGGAUGUGUAAUUCAGAAUAAGCACAAUGGUAAGGACUCUCCUAUUCGCACUUAGUGUCUUUGAUGGAGAAAGCAAACAUCUUCUUUAUAAUACUUAUCAAGUUCAGCUGAGAAAUAGGCUUAAAAAUAUGACUUCUUUUGUAUAGUUCCAAGCUUGUUAGCCUUGUUGGCCAGUACUGGCAAUAUUUGAUUUCUCUAUAAUAGAAAUCUUUUUUAAUAGCAUUAGAGUUCUGGCCUCAGAAUUAUGCAGAGAGCUGACAACAACAACAUCUGAGAUCUAAUUCCUGUAUUUUUUUAGGACUACAUCUUUUUCGAGCAUGUCGGCAUAUCAUCACUGGACCCAAACUUCCUAGUUAGAAAGUGGCACUUCCCUGAAGUUCAGUAUGUUUCUUGAGCCCUAUUCAGAAGCCAGUGCUUCCUGUAUGCAGUUUCUGAUGCAAACUGCCUAGCAUAAAUUUUCUGUUUCCAUGGCUGUAUCUGACCAAGGUGUGGACAUUUGCCUUUACAGUCAUCUGUAUCAAUGCAAAAGCAAGAAAUAAGUUCAGAACCUGAGAUAUUUAUGUAAUUGCUACGUGGGGUUUUUUUUUGUUAGGUUUUUUUUUUUUUUUUUUUUUUUAGAUUUCCCUUCCCUUCAGUGCUGUUAAUUUAUUUGAUAUAUCACAGCUUGCAGUCUUUCCAAACUGUCUGGUUAUCUCAGUGCAUGACAUCCACUUGUCGCAAGUACAAGUUGUCCCUAAGUAACCCAACAGGUCAUUUCAAACACAGCCUUUCUAAAAGGGAAAGUGUAAUGAAUAGAGUUAGAGACAAUUUGGGAAUCAAAAAUAAAACAGAGCUCACUCACAGAGGCAAAAAAUCCUAAGGGAGCUCUUUAUGUACAGGACAUAAAUCUUGCCGGUUGUAGUCAUUAAGAGACAUGGGUAUCAAGGCCCAGGAGGAGAGAUUUGCUAGACCAUUAAUAACAUAGGCAAAUUACACCCAGCUAUGAAACUGCAAACAGAAUCAGAGUUGUGACACUAUUUGCACAUCGUCACCAUAACCUUGAAAUUAAUCUUUCAUCCUUUAGCAUUCUCAAAUCUAUUGCAAGUAACUUUGCUAUGAUAACAGUUCAGGCAUCUUUCAUGCCAGUGCUCUUUGGUGGCCAUACUGUGAAGAUGUUGAUGAAAAAAGAGAGACCAUUUUAUAUGGAGUUUUUGUGCACAAUGAGUAUUGCUCCAAUUGUGUCCAAAUGAGAAGUGUGUGGCUUGAUCUUAUAGAUGUUGCCGACUCACCUGAUGAAAAAAAUACAGUAUUCUGAAAGAUAGCUUCACCGUUCCCAUGGUCCUCUUAAUUAAAAAACUAAUUGAAAAUCAGUUCUGAAUGAGCUUUCUCCCUGCAGACAUGAUCUUUCCCUCAUAUUUCCUUCAAGAAGUUCUUUUGAAGUAUCAGAAAUGUAAGCAGUGAUCAUGGACUGAGGCUGAGAACAGUCAGGACUCAUUUAAAAGUGCCUCUGGUACACAUCUGAUAAUGAAAACCUGGACUGAGUCAGCAUUUAUUUGACCUACCAGCAAAUGGAAAACUUACAAAAGCUCAUGGACUUUCCAUCUAAGACAGAUUUGGGAGUCACUGGCAUAGAUAUGUGUAUGGGAAUUGUUGAAUAAUGGUGUGAACCUCUGAUUGACCACCUGAGGUGAGCACUGAGUCAGCCUUGGGAGCACAGGUGGAGGCAAUUCAGCUGUGUGACUGGAAGCAGUGGAGCCAGGCUGCACCUCUCCUAGACUCCACGUAAAGGCUGACUGCCACUGAGGAAGGAUUUCUUCCUGGAGAUUGCUCCUUGUGGAGUUUUCUUGCAAGCCUCCAGCACUGGUGAGCUUGUUUCCAUUUAUUUCUGAUUAUCUUUUCCAAAGUGAUAAUCUUUCCAGUUAUAUGUCCUUGAAAGACUAGCCUAACUUCACUGUUUAGUUGUUGAUUAUACAUCUGUGUACUCGUUGAUUAUACAAUAUGGAAUUUCAGAUUACAUUACAAUUAGAGAAUUGUAGGGGUUGGAAAGGACCUCAAGAGAGCAUAGAGCCUAAUUGCCCUGCUAAAGCAGUUCCCUGCAGUAGGUUGCACAGGUAGGCAUCCAAACAGGU